rnacentral:piRNA from 1 species
UGCUCACACAAAGCCUGGUUAGGUGGUCUC